rnacentral:tRNA from 3 species
GCCCGGAUGGUGGAAUCGGUAGACACAAGGGAUUUAAAAUCCCUAGGCGUUCGCGCUGUGCGGGUUCAAGUCCCGCUCCGGGUACCA